UACGAAGGGGGCUAGCGUUGCUCGGAAUCACUGGGCGUAAAGGGUGCGUAGGCGGGUCUUUAAGUCAGGGGUGAAAUCCUGGAGCUCAACUCCAGAACUGCCUUUGAUACUGAGGAUCUUGAGUCCGGGAGAGGUGAGUGGAACUGCGAGUGUAGAGGUGAAAUUCGUAGAUAUUCGCAAGAACACCAGUGGCGAAGGCGGCUCACUGGUCCGGUACUGACGCUGAGGUGCGAAAGCGUGGGGAGCAAACAGG
rnacentral:rRNA from 1 species